UAAAGAGCCAGGGUAUCAUGGUGGCGGGGUGGGGGGAGCAGAGGGGACAGGGUGGAGCCCCAAAUCCUGGCUCUUUACCCGCAAACGAACCGAGAAGCCAGCUGAUUUCGAGCAGAGCCAUUUCUCCGUCCCUGAGUUCUGCCUCUAGCACAGGAGCUACGGCUCAAUGCCAGCGAGAAAGGUGUGGAGCCCGCACGUCCACGAAACUCAGACCGCCGACGGGGCGGCGGAGCACGCUACGAGGACCCCUGCCCAUAAAAGGCAGUACCCGACCGAGCCCCCGCAGCGCUUCUCCACCCUAACCCGUCACCCUCCUAAGGUUUGGGGGAUCGGAGUUGGGGAAGAGAGAAGGGGAGGGGGCGGGUAGGAAACCAGUUGGAAGCGGCGGUGGGAGGAAGAGGCAAGGAAAGACCCACUCUGGCUCGUCUGGGAACUGGUGAGAAAACUCCCCUCUCUUGGCCUGGUCUUCUGCGCAAAUAAAGCAGCAUUUCUCUAUCGGCUGACAGCCGCCACUGAGAGAGAGAAAACAGUCAUUUUAACCAAUAACUAUACACAUCUUUGGGGGAAAAGUUCUUGGACGGACACAAGUCGAACACAAUCCCGAGACGCUUGUGGCAAAAUAGAGG